AACGAACGGUGGCGGCGUGGAUAAGACAUGCAAGUCGAACGGGACUUUAUUUGUAGCAAUACCGAUAAAGUUCAGUGGCGUAAGGGUGCGUAACACGUGGGCAAUCUGCCCUGAAGCGCGGGAUAGCUUGGCGAAAGCCAAAUUAAUACCGCAUGUGGCUAUUGGAGGAGUCUCCGGGAUGCUAAAGACGGCGCAAGCUGUCACUUCAGGAUGAGCCCGCGGCCUAUCAGCUAGUUGGUGAGGUAACGGCUCACCAAGGCUAUGACGGGUAGCUGGUCUGAGAGGACGACCAGCCACACUGGAACUGAGACACGGUCCAGACACCUACGGGUGGCAGCAGUCGAGAAUUUUUCUCAAUGGGGGAAACCCUGAAGGAGCGACGCCGCGUGGAGGAUGAAGGUUUUCGGAUUGUAAACUCCUGUCAUUUGGGAACAAACCUUUCAUUUAACUGAUGAAAGACUGAUAGUACCAGAAGAGGAAGAGACGGCUAACUCUGUGCCAGCAGCCGCAGUAAAAC
rnacentral:rRNA from 1 species